CGGACCCGCAAGGAUUCCACACAGAGGGAAAGUUAAUCACUCAGUCGCGUCCGACUCUCUGUGACCCCACGGACUGGAGCCCACCAGGCUCCUCUGUCCAUGGGAUUCUCCAGGUGUUUAUUAGCCGGUAGGCUGGCUACCCUGAGAAACUUCAGGAAGUCUUCAGAUCUACCGACGCAGAGAACUGUGUGGUCGUUGCCAGUGUGUUCGCCGUGAUGACUUGCGUGCCCACAGCACUCACAGUGGAGAGAUAAACAAGCAAAAAUCUACUAGCAAGCCAGCUGUCUAUCCCCAGUGAAAAACACAACAAACUGUGAUAUGUUCACGAAACAGAAUUUUACCCUAGCAUGAAAAAUCCUCAAACCACAGCUGCAAGCAACAGUACGGAACAUGCUUCCCAUGGAUCACUGCUGUGCCCUCGUCACUUACCAUCGCAGGGAGGAUGUUGUCAACACAAGCCAACCCAGAGGCUUGCUCGCUUCGCCUUGCUCUCUUUCCCUCUGAACAGGACUGUUGUUUACGUAUGGCCUCAUUUUCUGUCCAGCCUAAUUUGUCUGGUUCGCUAUUUUCCAACACCAAGCACAGUUCCUGGCAAAUACCAGGAGCUCAGUAAACCUUUCUUAGAUCAAGA
ensembl:lncRNA